rnacentral:lncRNA from 10 species
AAAAGAAGAGACCUACAUUCCUCUCUUAAGACCCUGUACCUUUGCUCCUAAGCAUGAAGAUGGGCUUCUGACCAAGUCCUGCUAGAGGACACUGAAAGGGCAAGCCUUGGGCUUUAACCAGGCAAUGUUCUCAUCCAUAUGAGCAAGGGCUUCAUGUUACUGGCCGUGGCCCUGUGCUGAGUCCUCCUCCCGCCCAUGGCCCUCUCCUCCUGGCCAGUGGUCCUCCGCCUGAACAUGGCCGACUUUGUCUUCAGUUUCCUCUGCCUCGGCAUUGGGCUCCUGAUUUCUCUUCAGCCUGACGCUCUUUUCAGUUAACGGCAAGGCGGUGCACCCAAGUCCGGUGGUGUCCUACCUGGUGACCUCCUACCUGUGCUGGGACGCCAGCGACUUGAUGCUGCACUCCGCCAUCUCCCAGGAGCCGUGUCCUACCUAAGCCCAGUGGGCAUGUGAAGCAGAGGGCAGCCCUUGAAUGCGCGGCGGCUGAGCUACCGCGGGUGGGCCGUGCAGCAGGGCGCAGCGAGGCGGACAUCCAAACAGCGGAACUCAGACGCUGACUCCGAGCGCACCCCGGGCCUUCCCAUUUCAUACACCCUCGAGGAUGAGACCCAAGCACCUCCAAGGAAUAGCACCCGAGGUCUUCAGGACACCGACCGGUAGCCAUGGCCAGAUGCCCGGCCAACCCCUUCAGCGUGGCCACGCCCUGGAUAUUCGACCUCCCCUGAGGCCCCACCCCCUGAUAUCAGGCCACGCCCUCCGAGGGGACCGGUGGCAAACUCCAGCCCUCGCUCUAGGGCCCGCCCUUUGCGGCUUUGUCCCUGCCCACUGGGUCCUCACAGUACCUCCACCCCAGAGGCCCAGCAUCCCCUCCCGUUCUGCAGACACUUGUCCAGCGUCCCGCUGAGCUCGGCAGUGUGGCUAGUUUGUGUGGCCCUGCCCCUGGUGCCCAGCCAGGGUGGUCUGCAUGGAACUUCUUUCCCGGAGUUCCGGCCUCAGCUCCGAUGUCCACCCUUGUCCCCAGGUGGACACAGCACCGCCCAGCAUUUGGUGCAACUCCACCCUUCUGCAGAACGGGCCCCUCCCUGGGAAGGCAUGGCUUGCAAUAACAUCCCUCUGUACCUUUUCUGGCUUCCCCGCCACAAUAAAACCUCUCAGCCUCAGACCUUCCAUUGCCCCCCACCUCCCCACCAGGGCAGGGUCCAUCCUAGUGUGAGUGAACUGUUCUGGCGUCCCUGACUUGCCCUUUGGGA